rnacentral:rRNA from 1 species
CCUACGGGCGGCAGCAGUGGGGAAUAUUGCACAAUGGGGGAAACCCUGAUGCAGCAACGCCGCGUGAAGGAAGACGGUUUUCGGAUUGUAAACGUCUGGUCUUAGGGAAGAAGAAUGACGGGAGCGAAGGAGCAAGCCACGGCUAACUACGUGCCAGCAGCCGCGGUAAGACGUAGGUGGCAAGCGUUGUCCGGAAUUACUGGGUGUAAAGGGAGCGCAGGCGGGAAGCCAAGUCAGCUGUGAAAACUACGGGCUUAACUUGUAGACUGCAGUUGAAACUGGUUUUCUUGAGUGCAGUAGAGGUUGGCGGACUUCCGCGUGUAGCGGUGCACUUCGUCGAUAUUCG